GUGGUAAUGCCGGAUGCUCCAGUUGAUCGCAUGGUCUUCUGGGAAAGCUUUCGCGGUAUGGGAUGGGGUCGCGUCCUAUCAGCUUGACGGCGGGGUAACGGCCCACCGUGGCUUCGACGGGUAGCCGGCCUGAGAGGGCGACCGGCCACAUUGGGACUGAGAUACGGCCCAGACUCCUACGGGAGGCAGCAGUGGGGAAUAUUGCACAAUGGGCGCAAGCCUGAUGCAGCGACGCCGCGUGAGGGAUGGAGGCCUUCGGGUUGUAAACCUCUUUUAUCGGGGAGCAAGCGAGAGUGAGUUUACCCGUUGAAUAAGCACCGGCUAACUACGUGCCAGCAGCCGCGGUAAUACGUAGGGUGCAAGCGUUAUCCGGAAUUAUUGGGCGUAAAGGGCUCGUAGGCGGUUCGUCGCGUCCGGUGUGAAAGUCCAUCGCUUAACGGUGGAUCCGCGCCGGGUACGGGCGGGCUUGAGUGCGGUAGGGGAGACUGGAAUUCCCGGUGUAACGGUGGAAUGUGUAGAUAUCGGAAAAAAAAACA
rnacentral:rRNA from 1 species